rnacentral:rRNA from 1 species
AUGACUGCACCCCCUUCUACACCACCACAGGCCUCUACACAGUCAGGUACAUCCUCGUGGGUUCUGGAUUCUGGAGCUUCCUUUCAUAUGUCUUCCGAUUCUUCUGUGCUGUCUUCUCUCCGACCUCUUGAUUCACCUGUUAAUGUUCUUACCGCCGAGGGCACAUGGGAUCUGGUUCCCCUCCCUUCCGGUGUCCGUCCCAUCACCUGCAAGUGGGUCUACAAGGUUAAGACUCGCUCCGAUGGUUCUCUUGAGCACUACAAAGCUCGUCUUGUGGCUCGUGGUUUUCAGCAGGAGCAGGGGCGCGAUUAUGAUCAGACAUUCGCUCCUGUGGCCACAUGA